rnacentral:tRNA from 1 species
UCCCUCAUAGCUCAGUUGGUAAAGAAUCUGCCUGCAAUGCAGGAAACCCAGGUUUGAUUCCUGGGUUGGGAA